GCAUAUCAUAAGCGGAGGAAAAGAAACCAACAGGGAUUGCCCUAGUAACGGCGAGUGAAGCGGCAAUAGCUCAAAUUUGAAAGCUGGCCUUCUGGGUCCGCGUUGUAAUUUGUAGAGGAUGCUUUGGGGCAGCCGCCUGUCUAAGUUCCUUGGAACAGGACGUCAUAGAGGGUGAGAAUCCCGUAUGUGACAGGACAUGGCACCCUAUGUAAAGCUCCUUCGACGAGUCGAGUUGUUUGGGAAUGCAGCUCUAAAUGGGAGGUAAAUUUCUUCUAAAGCUAAAUACUGGCGAGAGACCGAUAGCGCACAAGUAGAGUGAUCGAAAGAUGAAAAGCACUUUGGAAAGAGAGUUAAAAAGCACGUGAAAUUGUUGAAAGGGAAGCGCUUGCAAUCAGACUUGUCGUGGGGUGUUCAGCCGGUCUUCUGACCGGUCUACUCGCCCCGGGACAGGCCAGCAUCAGUUUCGGCGGCCGGAUAAAGGCAUCGGGAAUGUGGCCUACACUUCGGUGUCGGUGUUAUAGCCCGGUGUGUAAUACGGCCAGCCGGGACUGAGGUCCGCGCUUCGGCUAGGAUGCUGGCGUAAUGGUUGUAAGCGACCCGUCUUGAAACACGGACCAAGGAGUCUAACAUCUAUGCGAGUGUUCGGGUGUCAAACCCCUGCGCGUAAUUAAAGUGAACGGAGGUGGGAACCGCAAGGUGCACCAUCGACCGAUCCUGAUGUCUUCGGAUGGAUUUGAGUAAGAGCAUAGCUGUUGGGACCCGAAAGAUGGUGAACUAUGCCUGAAUAGGGUGAAGCCAGAGGAAACUCUGGUGGAGGCUCGCAGCGGUUCUGACGUGCAAAUCGAUCGUCAAAUUUGGGUAUAGGGGCGAAAGACUAAUCGAAACCAUCUAGUAGCUGGGUUCCUGCCGAA
rnacentral:rRNA from 1 species